AUUGAACGCUUGCGGCAUGCCUUACACAUGCAAGUCGAACGGUAACAGGGAGCUUGCUCCGCUGACGAGUGGCGAACGGGUGAGUAAUGUAUCGGAACGUACCUUUUAGUGGGGGAUAACGUAGCGAAAGUUACGCUAAUACCGCAUAUUCUCUGAGGAGGAAAGCAGGGGACCUUCGGGCCUUGCGCUAAUAGAGCGGCUGAUAUCAGAUUAGCUAGUUGGUGAGGUAAAGGCUCACCAAGGCGACGAUCCUUAGCUGGUCUGAGAGGAUGAUCAGCCACACUGGGACUGAGACACGGCCCAGACUCCUACGGGAGGCAGCAGUGGGGAAUAUUGGACAAUGGGCGCAAGCCUGAUCCAGCCAUGCCGCGUGUGUGAAGAAGGCCUUCGGGUUGUAAAGCACUUUUGUCCGGAAAGAAAUCUUCCAACUUAAUACGUUGGGAGGAUGACGGUACCGGAAGAAUAAGCACCGGCUAACUUCGUGCCAGCCGCCGCCGUAACAC
rnacentral:rRNA from 1 species